rnacentral:rRNA from 1 species
UACGGGGGGGGCAAGCGUUGUUCGGAAUUACUGGGCGUAAAGGGCCAGUAGGCGGCCAACUAAGUCCGACGUGAAAUCCCCAGGCUUAACUUGGGAACUGCGUCGGAUACUGGAUGGCUUGAAUUCGGGAGAGGGAUGCAGAAUUCCAGGUGUAGCGGUGAAAUGCGUAGAUAUCUGGAGGAAUACCGGUGGCGAAGGCGGCAUCCUGGACCGACAUUGACGCUGAGACGCGAAAGCGUGUGGAGCAAACAGG